UGUAGAGUCUGUGUGUGGAGCU
rnacentral:miRNA from 1 species